rnacentral:rRNA from 1 species
UACGUAGGGCGCAAGCGUUGUCCGGAAUCAUUGGGCGUAAAGAGCGCGUAGGCGGCCAGAUAAGUCCGGUGUGAAAGUCACAGGCUCAACCUGUGAAUGCCGCAGGAAACUGUCUGGCUUGAGUCCAGAAGGGGCGAGUGGAAUUCUUGGUGUAGCGGUGAAAUGCGUAGAUAUCAAGAGGAACACCUGAGGUGAAGACGGGUUGCUGGGCCAACACUGACGCUGAGGCGCGAAAGCCAGGGGAGCAAACGGG